AGAGUUUGAUCCUGGCUCAGAAUGAACGUUGGCGGCGUGGAUUAGGCAUGCAAGUCGAACGGGCCUGGUAGCAAUAUCAGGUCAGUGGCGUAAGGGUGAGUAAGGCGACGGCAACCAACCCCAUGGUUGGGCAUAGCCGCGGGAAACUGCGGGUAAUACCCAGCGAUGUUCGUACCGGGCAUCCGGUGUGAACCAAAGUUCUGGCGCCGUGGGACGGGCCGUCGUGGUAUUAGGUAGUUGGCGGGGUAAUGGCCCACCAAGCCUCUGAUGCCUACCGGGCGUGCGAGCGUGGCCCGGCACACUGGGACUGAGACACUGCCCAGACUCCUACGGGAGGCUGCAGUCGAGAAUCUUCGGCAAUGGGCGCAAGCCUGACCGAGCGACGCCGCGUGGAGGAUGAAGGCCUUCGGGUUGUAAACUCCUGUCGAGGGGGAGGAAGGGGUAACCUUGACCUAUCCCUGGAGGAAGCACGGGCUAAGUUCGUGCCAGCAGCCGCGGUAAGACGAACCGUGCGAACGUUAUUCGGAAUCAUUGGGCUUAAAGCGCGUGUAGGCGGAUGGGGACGUCGGUAGCUG
rnacentral:rRNA from 1 species